UCAGCCCCGGGCAGACAGCGGCAGGCAGGCAGGCAGGCGAGGCUGUGGGGGCUCGGCUUCCCUCCGUUGUCACCCCGUCAAUGGCUGUCGGGGCUGGGAGGUGGCGGGCGCCCGGGAUGCUGAGAGUGGCGGCGAUGGCGCCGGCCGGGACUUGCGGCUGACCAUGUAGACCGAGGGAGCAGCGUCAUGGCCGAGAGCAGCGGCAGCGUGCGGGCGGUGAAAGUGUGGCGGGAGGCGGCGCUGCGCUGCAGGAAACUCCGCCGCAACCUCCGGCAGCUGAGCCUGUGCAGCGCCAGCGAGCAGCGCCUGGCGCUCCCGGACAACAUCGGCCAGGUACAGAUACUCGACCUGGCCAACAACUCGCUGCGGGAACUGCCCGACGGCCUGGACGCCUCCCUUACCCGGCUGCGGGCUCUGAUCCUGCGGAGGAACCGGCUGUGCCGCCUGCCCGCUCCCGUCUGCGCGCUGAACCAGCUGGCCGAGCUGGACCUGGCGCACAACUGCUUGGCCCAGCUGCCCGGCGAGCUAGGUCGGCUGCAGCGCCUGCAGAAACUCUGCCUGAGCCACAACAAGCUGCAACUGCUGCCGCCGCAGAUCGGAGCCCUGCACGGCCUGGAGGAGCUUGACAUCAGCUUCAACGAGCUCAGCCAGCUGCCGCCCAGCUUCGGGCAGCUGCAAAGGCUCCGGACCCUGGACCUGGAUCACAACCGGCUGACCACCUUCCCGCAGCAGAUCCUGCGCCUCGGGAACCUGGAGGAGCUCGACUUCUCCGGCAACAAGAUCGAGGCCCUGCCUCCGGACAUCAUGCAGCUGCGCUCCAUGAAGAUCCUGUGGCUGAGCAGUCUGCGGCUCUCUGACUUGCCAGACACCUUCUGCCAACUCACCGAGCUAGAGAGCCUCAUGUUGGACAACAAUACCUUGCACUCCCUGCCCGAGAGCUUCGGCUGCUUGGACAAGCUCAAAAUGAUCAACCUGUCCUCCAACCUGUUCGAGAACUUCCCCAAUGCUCUGUUGGAGCUGGUUAAUUUGGAGGAGCUGUAUUUGAGCAGGAACAGGCUGUCCGUGAUCCCGCAGAAGAUUUCCAACAUCUCCAAGCUGGCCACCCUGUGGCUGGACAACAACAAGGUGCGUUACCUGCCCGACUCCAUCGUCAACUUGUGCCACCUGGAGGAGCUGGUUCUUCAGGGCAACCAGAUCGCCAUCCUGCCCGACUCGUUCGGCAAGCUCUCCAAGGUCAGCCUGUGGAAGAUCAAGGACAACCCUCUGAUCCAGCCACCCUACGAAGUCUGCAUGAAGGGAAUCCCCUACAUAGCCGCCUACCAGAAGGAGUUGGCCCUGUCACAGCCGGCACUCAAGCCACGGCUCAAACUGGUGCUGAUGGGUGCGAAGAGCUCGGGCAAGACAUCGCUGAGGCGGUGCCUGGUUGGAAACCAGCCCACUCCGCCAACCCCCACCGUGCACAGUAACGGGAUCGAGAUGACCCAGUGGGUGGCUGAUGCUGAGAACAACCUGACCUUCAUUGUCUACGAUCUGGCGGGGGAUCCCAAUUAUGACUCCAUCCGCCCGUUCUUCCUCUCUCCAGGUGCGCUCUACGUCUUGGUGGUCAGUUUAAAAGCCUAUGAGCCCCGUCGCUUCUACGAGCAGGUGGGCUAUUACCUGCACCUGCUCGGGGCCAGGGUCCCUCACGGCGUGGUGUGCGUGGUGGGAGCACAGGUGGACGAGUGCAGCGAGAGGGAAGUGGAGGAGAAAUGCUUGGACAUCCACCAGCAGAUCGCCGUGCAGGAGAAGCGCAACGUGGACUGCCUGCAGGCUGUAGCCAGGAAGGUGGACGCAGCCCUCAGGCAGGGUCAGGGCUUGGAUCUGCGGGCCACCAGCCCGCACGCUCCUUUCUACGGGGUGUCCGACAAGAACCUGCGGAGGAGGAAGGCGCACGUCCAGUACCUGCUCAACCACCGGCUGCAGAUCCUGUCUCCGGUCAUCCCGGUCAGCUGUCGGGGACACCUCGCCGGCAUCGGCCGCGUGAAAGACAAGCUGCUGUCGGUGGCCGAGCACCGGGAGAUCUUCCCCAACCUGCACAGGGUGCUGCCGAGGUCCUGGCAGAGGUUGGAGGAGCUGCACUUUAAGCCUCAGGAGCUGUGGCUGUCGUGGUGGGACUCCGCGCGCCUGGGUCUGCAGGCUGGCCUCACCGAGGAUCGUCUGCAGAGCGCCCUGUCCUACCUGCACGAGAGUGGCAAGCUGCUGUACUUCGAGGACAGCUUGACCCUGAAGGAGUGCGUCUUUCACAACCUGACCAAGCUGAUCGACAUCCUCAACGUCUUCUUCCAGCGCGACGCGUCGCUGCUGCUGGGCAAGGUGCUGGCGGACGCCCGGCUGGACGAACUGAGGGCGGCCCAGCUGCAGCACUUCGUGGAGGGCUUCCUGCUGCACGGCCUCCUGCCCUUGCACGUUAUCCGGCUGCUGCUGAAGCCACACAUCCAGACGCAGCAGGACCUGCACCUGAUCCUGGAGCUUCUGGAGAAGAUGGGACUGUGUUACUGCCUCAACAAGCCCAAGGUGACGCCCGUGAACGGGGCGACGGUGUGGUUCAAAUUCCCGUGCUAUGUGAAAAAUGAGGUCCCCCACGCUGAGGCGUGGAUCAACGGUUUUAAUCUCUCUGGGCAGCCCAUCGCAGUCGAGCAGCUGCAGGUGGAGUACAGUUUUCCCUUCCUGUUCCCACCAGGGCUGUUUGCUAGAUACAGCGUCCAGAUCAACUCUCAUAUUGUGCACCGCUCGGAUGGUAAAUACCAGAUCUUCGCUUACAGGGGCAAGGUCCCAGUGGUCAUCAGCUAUAAACCGUCUGAAAGCUGCUUGCAAGCGGACACCUUAUCUAUUGCCAGUCACGCCACCUUGCCUAAUAUUUGGACUGCAUGGCAAGCCAUAAUCCCUUUGGUGGAAGAACUGAAUGUGCUGCUCCAAGAAUGGCCGGGAUUAUUCUUUUCUGUGCAUGUCCUGUGUUCCAAGUGCCUUAAAAGAGGGUCGUCAAAUCCUCACACCUUUCCAGGGGAACUAUUGACCCAGUCCAGGCCUGAAGGAGUGACUGAGAUUAUCUGCCCAAAAAAUGGGGGUGAGCUUGUCGAUGUGGCCCUGGUAUAUCCCCCGACGCCCACUGUGAUCAGUCCCUGCUGUAAGUGAGCAGAGGGCCAGCCUGCUGGUCUCCCUCAGAAGAGAAACCUUUAAAAUUAUGUUCAAAUAUUUGGCAGACAACAGUUUUUUAUUUAGCAAGAAUAAGGUUGACGUUCAGCUGAGGCUUUUGUGAACAGUAGAGGAAUGUCCAUUCGUCCUUGGAAAUGUGAAGAGAAGAACUGAUGCUCUUUUACAGUAGAUUCAAAGUGGCUCCACAAUAGACACAGUUCACUGAGGAUCUUGUACCUGACCAGCUGACUGUCUCUACACAAAACCUAGAAAGAGUCUUCUCAUCCACUUCAAGCUGUCCUCAUUUGGAUGAGGAAUAGUGGAUUUUUAUCAUUUGAAAGCAGAUGGACCCACUAAAUCAAUUCUUCCGAUGGAUAAAUGCAGUGUAUACAAUCUACAAAAUGCACAGGAGUUAUUCACCUAUACCACUUCAACAGCAUUUUCCAAAUCUGUGACUGCUACCAACAAGGAGGACAGGGGCAGCAGGCACGUAGGCAAACCAACACCUGCAGAUUCUACUUGCAAGUCACAGACCUUCCUGACAUAGAAGUAAGUCACUGUUCCUUCAUCAUCGCUGGAUGCAAAUCCUACAGCUCCCUAUCCAGCAGCUCUGUGGGAGUACCUUCUCCAGAAAGUCGACACUGGUUCAAGAAGGUGACUCCCCACCACCUUCUCAAGGGCAGCGGAGGUUACGCAGUGAAUCUUGGCAUUGCCAGCAAUGCCCACACCCUUAGAAAUGAAUAACUCGUAAGAAAGACAUGCAAGUUCCACCAGCUAUUUCUGGAACAAGUGGCUCCUCAGGGAUUUUCUUUUGCAGUGUUUAAUAAAAGCCAUACUUAGUGUUGUAGGAAUAAAAUGCCAAAAGUAAUUUGUCUUUUCUUGGUUGGGCUCAGAUAACUGGGCUUUGCAAAAGCACAUCAUCACCACUUUGUUUUUUAAACUUCCUGCAGUUUAAUAGUUUUGUGCAAUACUCAGUGUGACAAAACAAUCUAUUCACACUGCUUUCUUCCCCCUUCGUUGAAACCAGUUUUAAUAAAGGCUCUUAAUUGGCCAUGAUUAACCUCCAUCAUCUGCCUGGGGGUGAAAAAUUGGAUUAAAAUAUCAAUGCUAUAUCGUUUCUAUAUAUUUGUUGAGAGGUAUUCAUUUCACUAUAAUUCUGGGGAACAUUUAUUUGAAAGUUACAAUUUUUAACAAAAAUAUAUCUCAAAAGCUGCAUUUUCAUUGGCAACACCCCUUCCCAAAGCACCCUGGUGAGGUAUGGGUUCUUCGUGUUCAGCUCAUCUCUGUGAAUGCUCUCUCAUCCUCAAGUCAGAAGCUUGCAGCUUCAAGUGCCACUUCAGAGACUUGGGCCAACUUUAAAGGGCAGUACUGGACAGAACCAUGAUACUAGAGCUGCCCUUUGCCAAAUGAGAUACAAAAUCCUCUUGGAUGAUUGGAGACAAUCCCAUGGUGUUCCUCGAAGAACAGGGGCGUUUCCUUGGUAUGCUGGACAACAUUUCUCCCUUCCGCCAAACAAAAAAUCCUAACUGUCCAUUCUUCUGGUGGUUGUGGAAUUUUGCUGUGAGAACGAUGUAGGACAAGGUGGCCUACUCGAGACUGAUGACACUUCAGGAGGGGGUCUGUUGAAUGUGAAGCUUGCUGGGACAUCCUGAGAGCGUGAUAAGGCAGUACAUAAAGACGAGCUGUCUCCGCUCCAAAGGAAGUUGUGAUUGUGUAUGUUGAAUUAAAGUGUUUUUCUUGAUAUCAAUUAAUCUAAAAGGAGGAGGAAGGAGAAUCAGUGCAGCCUACAAAUAUCUUAUUUUUUAAAGUCUUGUUAAUAAAACAUGUAUUGCAAUGGAACUGAAACAUUUGCACAUCAGUCACCUUGGAUAUUUAACACUUAUUAAAAGAAUCAAUUGCAAAAGUUUUUGUUUUAAU